GAAGGGAUAAGUUAAAUAAACUAUGUGGUUCAUGCCCAUACAAUGCUUUGUGCUCUCUUCG
rnacentral:tRNA from 1 species